ensembl:lncRNA
GAGAGAGACAGUAGACAGUAGACAAACGGUAGUAACGGAGACAGUAGACAGUAGACAGGCGGUAGUAACGGAGAGGAGAGACAGGAGACAGACGGUAGUAACGGAGAGACAGUAGACAGACGGUCCUAACGGAGACAGUAGUAACGGAGACGGGAGCGACAGUAGUAACGGAGACAGUAGAAAUGGAGAGGGGAGCGACAGUAGACAAACGGUAGUAACGGAGAGGGGAGCAACAGUAGUAACGGAGAGGGGAGCGACAGUAGACAGUAGUAACGGAGACAGUAGACAGUAGUAACGGAGAGGGGAGCGGCAGGAGACAAACGGUAGUAACGGAGACAGUAGACACGGAGACAGUAGACAGUAGACAGUAGUAACGGAGAGGGGAGCGACAGUAGACAGUAGUAACGGAGACAGUAGUAACGGAGACAACAAACAGUAGUAACGGAGACAGUAGACAGUAGUAACGGAGACAGUAGACAGUAGUAAUGGAGACAGUAGACAGUAGUAACGGAGACAGUAGACAGUAGUAACGGAGAGGGGAGCGACAGUAGACAAACGGUAGUAACGGAGACAGUAGUAACGGAGAGAGUAGACAGUAGUAACGGAGACAGUAGACAGUAGUAACGGAGACAGCAGACAGUAGUAACGGAGACAGUAGACAGUAGUAACGGAGACAGUAGUAACGGAGACAGUAGACGGUAGUAACGGAGACAGUAGACAGUAGUAACGGAGAGGGGAGCGACAGUAGACAAACGGUAGUAACGGAGACAGUAGUAACGGAGACAGUAGUAACGGAGACAGUAGACAGUAGUAACGGAGAGGGGAGCGACAGUAGACAGACGGCAGUAACAGAGAGGGGAGCGACAGUAGACAGACGAUAGUAACGGAGAGGAGAGACAGUAGAUAGACUGUAGUAAUGGAGAGAAGAGAGACAGUAGACAGACAGUAGUAAUGGAGAGGAGAGAGACAGUAGACAAACGGUAGUAACGGAGACAGUAGACAGACGGUAGUAACGGAGAGGAGAGA